AUGAAGGUUACUGCUAAGACCCGACAGUUGCUUCUCUUGGUGUUGGUGGCUUGCACUGCACAUGCCGCCAUCUGCAGCUCCUCCUCCUUGCAUGGAAACGAGACAGAUCGACUAUCACUGCUGGGAUUCAAAAAUGCAAUCAGUCUCGAUCCGCAGCAAGUCUUCAUGUCCUGGAACGAUAGCACACACUUCUGCAACUGGGAAGGUGUCUUGUGCAGGACAAAGAAGACUCUACCACAUCGUGUCACUUCUCUAAACCUUACAAGCCGAGGUUUGGUAGGAGUAGGACACAUCUCUCCUACACUUGGGAACCUUUCAUUCUUGCACUCUCUAGCCCUGACGGAAAACUCACUUACCGGGGAGAUUCCGCCCUCCCUGUCACUUGCGCCGCCUCCAAACCUUGCACUUGGAAAAUAA
rnacentral:rRNA from 1 species